rnacentral:tRNA from 1 species
GGGGAAUUAGCUCAUUCGGAAGAGCGCUGCCCUUGCAAGGCAGAGGCGCGGGGAUCGUAGCCCCGAUUCUCCA